UUUUUGCCAGGGGGGCCAUGGCAGCCAAAUUUCAAAUUGCUGUAAUUCAACAACCACUGGUUCGAUUUUAAAAAGCAAGGUAUUUCUGUAAAGGGGAGACCAUAAGGAAUCUAAAUCUACCAUUCUUUUGUACAUUUGGGUACUUUUGAGUUAGAUGAUUUAUAUUUUGACCUUGAAAUUGACACAGUGGGACACGCCAGACCUC